rnacentral:rRNA from 1 species
AACAAACGCUGGCGGCGUGCCUAAUACAUGCAAGUCGAACGGGGAAAGCUUUCGGGUGAGUACUAGUGGCGCACGGGUGAGGAACGCGUGGAUAAUCUGCCUUAGAGUGGGGGUUAAUAGUCGGAAGAUUAGCCAAAACCGCAUAAGAACACGAGAGGUGCCGCUUUUGAGGUCAAAGGGUUUUCGCUCUAAGAUGAGUCCGCGUAAGAUUAGCUAGUUGGUGAGGUAACGGCUCACCAAGGCGACGAUCUUUAACUGGUCUGAGAGGAUGAUCAGUCACACUGGAACUGAGACACGGUCCAGACUCCUACGGGAGGCAGCAGUAGGGAAUAUUGCACAAUGGAGGAAACUCUGAUGCAGCGACGCCGCGUGAGUGAUGAAGGCCUUCGGGUCGUAAAGCUCUGUCGCAGGGGAAUAACACAAUGAAGGUACCCUGUAAGAAAGGAUCGGCUAACUUCGUG